rnacentral:rRNA from 1 species
UACGUAGGGGGCAAGCGUUAUCCGGAUUUACUGGGUGUAAAGGGAGCGUAGACGGCGCUGCAAGUCCGGAGUGAAAGCCCAUGGCUUAACCAUGGUACUGCUCUGGAAACUGUGGAGCUUGAGUGCGGGAGGGGCAGGCGGAAUUCCUAGUGUAGCGGUGAAAUGCGUAGAUAUCAGGAGGAACAUCGGUGGCGUAAGCGCUUUACUGGGCCGUAAUUGACGCUGAGGAACGAAAGCCAGGGUAGCAAAUGGG